rnacentral:rRNA from 1 species
CCUACGGGAGGCAGCAGUGAGGAAUAUUGGUCAAUGGGCUUACGCCUGAACCAGCCAAGUCGCGUGAGGGAAGACUGCCCUAUGGGUUGUAAACCUCUUUUGUCAGGGAGCACUUGGCGCUACGGGUAGCGUUAUCGAGAGUACCUGAAGAAAAAGCAUCGGCUAACUCCGUGCCAGCAGCCGCGGUAAUACGGAGGAUGCGAGGUUUAUCCGGAUUGAUUGGGUUUAAAGGGUGCGUAGGCGGAAUGCCAAGUCCGCGGGAAAAUCGCGGGGCUCAACCUCGCUCCGCCGUUGAAACUAGCGGUAUGGAGUGGGCGAGAAGUAUGCGGAAUGCGUGGUGUAGCGGUGGAA